AGGGACCCAUAGCUCACUGUAAGAGCAUCUGCUUUGCAUACAAAAGCUCCCAGGUUCAAUCCCUGGUGUCUUUA